rnacentral:sRNA from 1 species
AAUAGUAAUUUGUUCGCCAAGAUUCUAUGCAGAGAAAAUCAUUGAAGCUCUCCAUCAAGAGCAUGGAGAAGGAGAAGGAGGUGUCGUUUGUGGUAAAUCUAAUAAGGAUCGAAAGGAAUUAUCCGUAAUAGAAUCGUCUAUGUAACAGUUAUUAUAAUUUGCAAUAAAUAAUAAAUUUUAAGACGAUAAAAAAAUAUUGUAUAGAUAAGUAGAUAGAUAGAAUAAAGUACCAAAUUAGCCAAA